AGUAAAUUGGCUGAAGUAUAAGCAAUAAAUUGUAAAUUUAUUUAUAAGAAUUAUCUUAUUUACUA
rnacentral:tRNA from 1 species